GAUAAACGCUGGCGGCGUGCUUAACACAUGCAAGUCGAACGAAGUUUUUCUUUCGGGUGGCAAUUAGUGGCGGACGGGUGAGUAACGCGUGGGUAACCUGCCCUGUACAGGGGGACAACAGCUGGAAACGGCUGCUAAUACCGCAUAAGCCCUUAGCACUGCAUGGUGCAUAGGGAAAAGGAGCAAUCCGGUACAGGAUGGACCCGCGUCUGAUUAGCCAGUUGGCAGGGUAACGGCCUACCAAAGCGAUGAUCAGUAGCCGAUCUGAGAGGAUGUACGGCCACAUUGGGACUGAGACACGGCCCAGACUCCUACGGGAGGCAGCAGUGGGGAAUAUUGCACAAUGGAGGAAACUCUGAUGCAGCGACGCCGCGUGAGUGAAGAAGUAUUUCGGUAUGUAAAGCUCUAUCAGCAGGGAAGAAAAUGACGGUACCUGACUAAGAAGCACCGGCUAAAUACGUG
rnacentral:rRNA from 1 species